UACGUAGGGUGCAAGCGUUGUCCGGAAUUACUGGGCGUAAAGGGCGCGUAGGCGGAAUGGCAAGUCGGUCGUGAAAUCCUUCGGCUCAACCGAAGAACGUCGAUCGAAACUGCCGUUCUUGAGGAUUGCAGAGGAGACUGGAAUUCCCGGUGUAGCGGUGAAAUGUGUAGAGAUCGGGAGGAACACCGGUGGCGAAGGCGGGUCUCUGGGCAAUUCCUGACGCUGAGGCGCGAAAGCGUGGGGAGCAAACGGG
rnacentral:rRNA from 1 species